UGGGGAAUAUUGCACAAUGGGCGAAAGCCUGAUGCAGCGACGCCGCGUGAGGGAUGACGGCCUUCGGGUUGUAAACCUCUUUCAGUAGGGACGACGCGCAAGUGACGGUACCUGCAGAAGAAGCACCGGCUAACUACGUGCCAGCAGCCGCGGUAAUACGUAGGGUGCGAGCGUUGUCCGUAAUUACUGGGCGUAAAGAGCUCGUAGGCGGUUUGUCACGUCGUCUGUGAAAUCCUAGGGCUUAACCCUGGACGUGCAGGCGAUACGGGCUGACUUGAGUACUACAGGGGAGACUGGAAUUUCUGGUGUAGCGGUGGAAUGCACAGAUAUCAGGAAGAACACCGAUGGCGAAGGCAGGUCUCUGGGUAGUAACUGACGCUGAGGAGCGAAAGCAUGGGUAGCGAACAGG
rnacentral:rRNA from 1 species